AGGUGCACCAAGCUUGUGGCAUCAUAGUCAAGACUUGAGGCUGUAAUUGCUGCCAAAGAUGCAUCAACAAAGAACUGAGCACAGGGUGUGAAUACAUACACAAUUUCAUAGUUUUUUAU